rnacentral:rRNA from 1 species
UACGGAGGGAGCGAACGUUGUUCGGAUUUACUGGGCGUAAAGGGUGUGUAGGCGGUCUUGCAAGUCAGGGGUGAAAUCCCUCGGCUCAACCGAGGAACUGCCUUUGAGACUGCAGGACUUGAGGGCGUGAGAGGAGACUGGAAUUCCUAGUGUAGCGGUGAAAUGCAUAGAUAUUAGGAGGAACACCAGUGGCGAAGGCAGCUCGCUGGGACGGUACUGACGCUGAGGCGCGAAAGCGUGGGGAGCAAACAGG